AGGUUACUGCUAUCGGUGUUCGCCUAAGCCAUGCGAGUCAUAUGUUCGUAAGAACAUGGCGUACUGCUCAGUAACACGUGGAUAACCUGCCCUUGGGUCCGGCAUAACCCCGGGAAACUGGGGAUAAUUCCGGAUAACGCACAUAUGCUGGAAUGCUUUAUGCGUAAAAUGGAUUCGUCUGCCCAAGGAUGGGUCUGCGGCCUAUCAGGUAGUAGUGGGUGUAAUGUACCUACUAGCCUACGACGGGUACGGGUUGUGAGAGCAAGAGCCCGGAGAUGGAUUCUGAGACAUGAAUCCAGGCCCUACGGGGCGCAGCAGGCGCGAAAACUUUACAAUGCGGGAAACCGUGAUAAGGGGACACCGAGUGCCAGCAUCCUAUGCUGGCUGUCCGGGUGUGUAAAAUACACCUGUUAGCAAGGGCCGGGCAAGACCGGUGCCAGCCGCCGCGGUAACACCGGCGGCCCGAGUGGUGAUCGUGAUUAUUGGGUCUAAAGGGUCCGUAGCCGGUUUGGUCAGUCCUCCGGGAAAUCUGACAGCUUAACUGUUAGGCUUUCGGAGGAUACUGCCAGACUUGGAACCGGGAGAGGUAAGAGGUACUACAGGGGUAGGAGUGAAAUCUUGUAAUCCCUGUGGGACCACCUGUGGCGAAGGCGUCUUACCAGAACGGGUUCGACGGUGAGGGACGAAAGCUGGGGGCACGAACCGGAUUAGAUACCCGGGUAGUCCCAGCCGUAAACGAUGCUCGCUAGGUGUCGGGCAUGGCGCGACCGUGUCUGGUGCCGCAGGGAAGCCGUGAAGCGAGCCACCUGGGAAGUACGGCCGCAAGGCUGAAACUUAA
rnacentral:rRNA from 1 species